rnacentral:rRNA from 1 species
UACGUAGGGGGCAAGCGUUGUCCGGAAUCAUUGGGCGUAAAGCGCGUGUAGGCGGCCCGGUAAGUCCGCUGUGAAAGUCGGGGGCUCAACCCUCGAAUGCCGGUGGAUACUGUCGGGCUAGAGUGCGGAAGAGGCGAGUGGAAUUCCUGGUGUAGCGGUGAAAUGCGCAGAUAUCGGGAAGAACACCCGUGGCGAAGGCGGUUCUCUGGGACGGUACUGACGCUGAGACGCGAAAGCGUGGGGAGCGAACAGG